rnacentral:rRNA from 1 species
UAACGGCGAGUGAAGCGGCAACAGCUCAAAUUUGAAAUCUGGCCCCAGGCCCGAGUUGUAAUUUGCAGAGGAUGCUUUUGGCGCGGUGCCUUCCGAGUUCCCUGGAACGGGACGCCAUAGAGGGUGAGAGCCCCGUACGGUUGGACACCAAGUCUUUGUAAAGCUCCUUCGACGAGUCGAGUAGUUUGGGAAUGCUGCUCAAAAUGGGAGGUAUAUUUCUUCUAAAGCUAAAUAUUGGCCAGAGACCGAUAGCGCACAAGUAGAGUGAUCGAAAGAUGAAAAGCACUUUGAAAAGAGGGUUAAACAGCACGUGAAAUUGUUAAAAGGGAAGCGCUUAUGACCAGACUUGCGCCCGGUGAAUCACCCAGCUCUCGCGGCUGGGGCACUUUGCCGGCUCAGGCCAGCAUCAGCUCGCUGUCGGGGACAAAAGCUUCGGGAACGUAGCUCUCUUCGGGGAGUGUUAUAGCCCGUUGCACAAUACCCUUCGGCGGGCUGAGGUACGCGCUCCGCAAGGAUGCUGGCGUAAUGGUCAUCAGCGACCCGUCUUGAAACACGGACCAAGGAGUCAACCUUAUGUGCGAGUGUUUGGGUGUCAAACCCCUACGCGUAAUGAAAGUGAACGCAGGUGAGAGCUUCGGCGCAUCAUCGACCGAUCCUGAUGUUCUCGGAUGGAUUUGAGUAAGAGCAUAUAGGGUUGGACCCGAAAGAAGGUGAACUAUGCGUGUAUAGGGUGAAGCCAGAGGAAACUCUGGUGGAGGCUCGCAGCGGUUCUGACGUGCAAAUCGAUCGUCAAAUAUGCGCAUGGGGGCGAAAGACUAA